GUCAGGAUGGCCGAGCGGUCUAAGGCGCCAGACUCAAGGUCGACCUUUCCCGUUGUUCAGAACGGGAACCGAGCGUUCUGGUCCUCUCUGAGGGCGUGGGUUCGAAUCCCACUUCUGACA